AGUUAUUUGGCUGAGAGGAAAGCAUUUGUCUUGAAAACAAACCAUAAAGGUUCAAAUCCUUUAAUAACUU
rnacentral:tRNA from 1 species